rnacentral:rRNA from 1 species
GAGUUUGUCGGUUGGUCGGGCUUCACUGUCCGCACUGGCCUGAUGGAUUCCUACCUUCUGAAUAACCAGCAUGCUAUUAAGUUAGUGCGUUGGGGAAGCAGAGCUAUUACCUUGAAAAAAUUAGAGUGCUUAAAGCAGGCUUUUGCUUGAAUAGAUUAGCAUGGAAUAAUAAAAUAGGACGGCAUGGUUCUAUUUUGUUGGUUUCUAAGGCUCAAGUA